rnacentral:tRNA from 1 species
GCAGCGUUAGUCUAGUGGUCAGGACGCUACACAGAUAAUGCCUUGCAAACACAAGCAUGUAGGGCGGUCAUGAGGCAGCAUACCGAAGGGAGAGUGGAAGUGAUCAUCUGAAAUGUAGAGACGUGAAUUCGAAUCUCACAAGCUGCA